UUCAGUUUACCCAUCUGCAGCAGCAGCUUGAUCCACUCCCAAACACUUCAUGGAUAUACCAGCAGUCCAGUUCCAUAGAGGUGGGAUAGCAACCUCGAAUCCACAGCCAUAGCACUCCCUAGCAGAUACAGCCAAGCCUCAUUCUCAGCACAAGUCGGCAAGAGGGACCAAAAGGAAUGCCAGAAGUUCUCCGCUGUGCCUCUCUCAUUGAAGCGAAGAUCAGUGAAGACUUGAGAGGGUUGCACAGCUCGCUCUGUAAGCAAGCCAAGCUCACUUCUGUCACUGUCAAGUCCUAUUUAUACUUCCUCCAAACGUCACUCCUCCACUGGUCUUGCCUCAGCAUGUGUGUCUGUCUCCCUGACAUCACGCUGCCAAUCAGUUCCAGACCUUGGAAACAGCAAGAAACUGCAGCACACCAACAGAAGUUUUUUUUGGUGCAUUUCUCUCUAUGGAGUCCCAACAAACGCAACUCAACUACACAAUGUAAGGUGGACCAAUACAAGUGUGUGGUUAGCAAAGAACCCUUCAUCACAUGUCCUUUCGUGUGCUUGCUUAAGCAGAACAUCUGUUCGCCUCUGUCUGCUGCAGCUAAACAUUCCUUCAUGUGUUUGCUUCGGCAAAACAUCAUCCAACCAACUUUCCAAAGAACCCUUAAGUUCAGAGACAUGUCUCACCUUGUAUAUUUUUCUAAUUGGGGUCCUCUUCCCUACACAACAUUAUUAGUCUUGGUGUCCAAUUUCAGAAUCUCAAGUUCGCAUUUGCUAUGAUUUACCUAAGAAUCCUUCAAAGCCCAUGUGUUAAAGGUGUGGUCCCCAGUUCACAGUGCUUUGGAGAAGUCAUAGAACCUUUAAGAAGUAGACACUAGUAGGGGUUCAUCCAUUGGGCAGAUGUAAUCGUAAGGGGGAAAUACAGGAACUUUAGUUCCUUCUUUCAAGUUCCUGCCAUGAGCUGAGUAGUUUUGCUGCCCGCUACCACCAUGAUUACAGCAACAGAGAGCUGGCUGAUGAAGCACGUCUGUAGCACAUGAUUCCAUUCUUAUAUGAAGGCUAUGAAGCUCAUCAAAUUGGGAGACAGGUAUGAAAUAUGAGGCUGCUUCAAAUUGUCCACAGCAGCUGACUAUGAUUUGUCUCAUGCUCUGGCAGGGAUGUGAUAAUGCCAGAUGAAGAUAGUUUACAUUUGGAAUUCUGGGGACUCUUCUGGGGGAAUAAAAAUGAUGCAGCAAAGUGAGGGGCUGCUCCCUCUGUUGCUCCUCCUGCUGCUCCUCUUACUGACAGCAGUGGUGAUGGUUACUGUUUGCUGGAUUGCUGGAUUGCUGGAUUGCUGGAUUGCUGGAUUGCUAGAUUGCUGGAUUGCUGGAUUGCUGGAUUGCUGGUUGAAGAUAUCCUGACAAAGAAGAUUGGACUUGCCCCAAGUAACUCCAUUACCCUAAUCAGCAGGAAGUAGUCUAAGGAGAUCCGUACCCCCAAUCUUUCCCCUCUAACCUUCUUUCUCUCCUACCUAGUAUGGGGGGGGGAUAUGUAAGGGAUUACAAUAGAGAAUGGUGGUAGAUAUAAGACCCCAGUAAAGUAGCUGAAAGGUACAGGUACAACUAAGAACUCUGUGGUCAAAAAUACAAGGAUUCCUAUGGACUAGCUAAUCUCUGUUCUUCUGAAACAGCCACAAGUACAUGAAACAUUGGCCUGAAUUCUAAUCUUAAUUCAGCCAUUACGUAUGACAGUCCCUACAGGGACUCAUUUUCCUCAACUGAAGUCUUGGUCUGGGAUGCUUCUCAGUGAUAAGGGAGCCCUGGAAAAAAAAAAAAAAAAAAAAAAAAAAC
rnacentral:sRNA from 1 species